AGGCAGUAAGCCUAAUGCUGCAGUAGAAAAAGAAGGAAAGACUUGUCAGGCAUUAAGAGAGAAUAUCUGUUAAAGCAGAAACUAUUGAGAGGAUAUCAACUCAUUUUUGAAGUAUGCUAGUGCUCUUUUAAGUGUAGUGAAUUAAUAAUCCCAUUAAGCCAAUGCCCCUUGGACAGGUUAGGAUAUCCAUGAAAAUAUUUUGCAUAAUUUGGAUGGUACAGAUUCAUAUCACAAGUAUAAAUGAUAGUAAACUGAAAAGCACCAUAGUUUUCAUAAGAAUGAGUAUGAACUCUUCAAGAUGG
rnacentral:misc_RNA from 1 species